rnacentral:rRNA from 1 species
UUGGGCGUAAAGCGCUCGCAGGCGGUCACUUAAGUCUGAUGUGUAAUCCCCCGGCUCAACCCCGGAUCGCCCUGGAAACUGGAUGACUUGAAUGCCCAAAAAGAAAAUGGAAUUCCCCCUGGAACGGUGAAAUGCCUAAAAAUGGGGAAGAACCCCCGUGGCCAAAGCCACUCCCCGGGCUGGAACUGACCCUGAAGCACCAAAGCCUGGGGAACCAACCAGAUUAAAUUCCCCGGUAAUCCCCCCCCGAAACCAUGAAUGCCAAGUGGUAAGGGGUUCUCCACCCUUGGUGCCGAAAUCAAACCCUUAAGCCUUCCCCCUGGGGAGUUCCGGCGGAAAAACUAAACCCCAAGGAAUUUGCCGGGACCCC